rnacentral:rRNA from 1 species
GACGAACGCUGGCGGCGUGCUUAACACAUGCAAGUCGAACGAAGAGCGAUGGAAGCUUGCUUCUAUCAAUCUUAGUGGCGAACGGGUGAGUAACGCGUAAUCAACCUGCCCUUCAGAGGGGGACAACAGUUGGAAACGACUGCUAAUACCGCAUACGAUCUGACCUCGGCAUCGAGGAUAGAUGAAAGGUGGCCUCUACAUGUAAGCUAUCACUGAAGGAGGGGAUUGCGUCUGAUUAGCUAGUUGGAGGGGUAACGGCCCACCAAGGCGAUGAUCAGUAGCCGGUUUGAGAGGAUGAACGGCCACACUGGGACUGAGACACGGCCCAGACUCCUACGGGAGGCAGCAGUGGGGAAUCUUCCGCAAUGGACGAAAG